UCCGUAGGUGAACCUGCGGAAGGAUCAUUAACGAGUUUUGAAACGAGUUGUAGCUGGCCUUCCGAGGCAUGUGCACGCUCUGCUCAUCCACUCUACCCCUGUGCACUUACUGUAGGUUGGCGUGGGCUCCUUUGCGGGAGCAUUCUGCCGGCCUAUGUAUACUACAAACACUUUAAAGUAUCAGAAUGUAAACGCGUCUAACGCAUCUAUAAUACAACUUUUAGCAACGGAUCUCUUGGCUCUCGCAUCGAUGAAGAACGCAGCGAAAUGCGAUAAGUAAUGUGAAUUGCAGAAUUCAGUGAAUCAUCGAAUCUUUGAACGCACCUUGCGCUCCUUGGUAUUCCGAGGAGCAUGCCUGUUUGAGUGUCAUGGAAUUCUCAACUUAUAAAUCCUUGUGAUCUAUAAGCUUGGACUUGGAGGCUUGCUGGCCCUUGUUGGUCGGCUCCUCUUGAAUGCAUUAGCUUGAUUCCGUACGGAUCGGCUCUCAGUGUGAUAAUUGUCUACGCUGUGACCGUGAAGUGUUUUGGCAAGCUUCUAACCGUCCAUUAGGACAACUUUUUAACAUCUGACCUCAAAUCAGGUAGGACUACCCGCUGAACUUAAGCAUAUCAAUAAGCGGAGG
rnacentral:rRNA from 1 species